UGCCCAGCAACUCCUAUCCCUACCUCCUCGCGGUACCGGCCGGGAACUAUGAGCAACCUUAGGGAAGAUCGGGUAACCAACGCCGGUGGGAACUUUGGCCGUCGGCCGACAGGGAAGG
rfam:Aedes albopictus isolate Foshan contig123892, whole genome shotgun sequence.